GGUUUAGGGUUAGGGGGGUGACGGCGUGCCUUGUGGGUGGAGGAGGUGAGGGCACGGGAGGAGGUGGAAGAGGCCACGACGGCGAGCCCGGGGCGGCGUGGUGGAGGAAGGAAGCCGUGGCGGUGAAAUCAGGGGCGGGAUGGUGAGGAAGGAGACCGCGGUACGACCGCGGGACCUGGACGGGCUGGGGAGGGAGGGUGGAAGAAGGAGGAGGGUGGAUGAGAGGUGGAAAGUGAUGGCCACGGCGGGGUCGCGGGCAGGUUGAGGGAGGUAACUGCCUAGGUUGAACGGAGAGGGGGUGUCUCGUGGAGAGCCACUUAGGGCUACGCGUCGAGGGGUUGCCGGGGAUGGAAGGAAACGCGCGGCGGCGAGGCCCAACGUCGGUGGCUCAAGGUCGUUAUUCUCGUGCCUUCGUUGCGCCGGGGAGGUGGGUGCCUAGGCGCGGGAGGACGUGCACCACCGGCUUACCCUACCGGCCGCUCCAGGAGGCACAGUCUCUGCCCUUCCUCACCGAGGGCGCCGAUGGAGACGGUUGGUAGCACCCGCCUAGACGGCCAGGACGCUGGAGGAGACAUCAGCCUGAGCCGCCGGGUGCUGGGGAAGGGGGGAUAAAGGAGAGGACCUACCCUCGUGGCCCGUAGUGGUGGGGGCGACCUAGGCGCUCUAACACCGGCCUUGGCGGCGGUAGUGGGUAGCCUUGACCUAGGACGUCGGGGUAGGAGGGAGGACGACAGUUCGCUGGUAAGUACCCGCUGGAGGAGGGUCGUGGUAGAGCACCGUACUGAAACGGAGAUGGAUGUAGGAGGGCAGGGGUAAUCUCCGGCGCCGCUCCGAGGGACACGACUGACGUAAACCGCACGUCGAGUUAGUUGACCGCGCACGUCAAGUCAUUGGUGUCACGACGGCAGCUGGUAUCGGGUGCCGGUCACGUGAAGGUGGUUGGGUACAAGCACGUCAAGCAAACCGAUACUUUAAAUACACGUCAAGUAAAGAGAGUGCCCCCGUCGAGGGAAAAGAAGAAGAACGAUAAUGUAAAAGAGUGCCCACAUCAAGAGGAUCAACACGUUUAAAACACUAAAAACCAGUUAAAAAGACGUUAAGUCACUUGAAACGUUAACCAGCAUGUUUACAAAAAAACAAAACGAAAUAACAAAAACGUACGUCGAGAAAUCACCAAACGAACGUCGAGUGUCCGUGGACCCCUCAAGUUGACAUAAUAGAUACCGCCAUACACAACACGUGACGUGGGUACGCAUAGCUCCUCGACGUCAAGCCAAAGGUCAGGUCGCUCCACGUCACGGCCGUCAUCGAUGCCCUCGUAUCGUCGUCCACCGCCACACGUUUCCUCCAGCAAACUAGGCAACGAACACCGGAGGCUAAGGAGGUGGCGAUAGACGAGGACUGACGUCCCAGUUUAGCCCUUCUGCUCCUUUGGGUGACGAGUCGCAGUUUAGCCCUUCUACUCCUGUGGGUGACGAGAUGGUGUGCGUUCGAGGGCACGUCAAACACUUCACGCGGUUACUUUAAGUCUCAGACCGACACACACGCGUCAGACCCGUACCUGCCUAUGGCUCAUACGUAUGUACCAAACCCUCGUUUUUGUAGUCGCACCUCAAGUCACAAAAAACGACACCAAGCGA
rnacentral:rRNA from 1 species